AUGUCUCCACCAAUCCUAGAAGCUGAGAUUCAGCUUGUUCUUUUGUCUUUGGAAGCAAAGCCAUAUUAUGAAUGUGUUAUAUCAUGUGGAAGAAACAAUGGAGGGUCAGUGACUCAGACAGAAGGCCAAGUGACUGUCUCAGAAGGGGAUUCCUUGACUGUGAACUGCUCCUUUGAAAGCACAGGGUACCCCACUCUCUACUGGUAUGUUCAGUAUCCUGGAGAAGUUCCACAGCUCCUCCUGAAAGCCACAAAGGCUGAUGUUAAGGAAAGCAACAAAGGUUUUGAAGCCACAUACCGCAGACAACCAAAUUCUUUUCACUUGGAGAAAAACUCAGUGGAUGAGUCAGAUUUGGCAGUGUACUACUGUGCUCAGAAUGACACAGUGACAGAAACUGCAGGGGGAGCUGAGCACAAACCCUGA